GAAUGCACUGUCACAGCGGAAACAGUCACAGUCCUCAUGUUCCUGUGCCAAACCUUGCAGCCUGUGUGAAUCUUUCUGUUCUGUCAAAUGUCACCGCUAUGUCUUGCAAACUUCAGUACGAGCGGUGGAAGGGUUGCGGGGAGCACAGGAGUCCAGCAGCCGCAGCAGGAACGGGAGGCAUGGCAAAUAGAUCAAAAAUAACAGUCGUCACAGCCUGAUGCUGUUACAUAUUGGAUAGCACAUCCAUGUAAACCUCCGUAUGGCCCACGCAGGCUUGUGCACGGCUGCUGCAGCACCCGCUGUCAACCCCUGCCCUCGGUGGCAUCCUCUCCCUGCCCCAAAUCCUGCUGAUGGACGUGGUUCGGGAAUCAAAACUGGAAAGCUGGAAAAACCUUCUUUAGGUAUGUAUUUUAUAUGUGGUUACAUGCAUGCCCGUGUGUGUGUAGUUUGGGUAUGUACCUUAAAAACCGCCGGAGAAUGAAACAAAUCCAGCCUUCUACAUUUAUUUAGCUGUCACGAAUGGGUGCAUAUGUGUAACCUCUUGUCUGGAAAAACAGACAGAUGACCCAAAGCGGUGGGACAGUAACUAAUGACAAGGACGAGGUUACUCGUGCCAGACAGCCCAGCUCACUGGGAGUAACUGGGGCCUGUGCAAACCAUUUUUAUUUGGCCAAAUACAAAAGCCGCCUUUGGAAAUGAGGGCUGUGGGGAAUGCCUGCGGACUGAGAGCAGGGUUCAGCGUGGCAACACAAAUUGGGCGACGGGAGUCUCUUUGCUCAAAGGGCUCGAGACGCUCAGGCAUCGGUGGGCUGUUCGUCUGAAACCGCUGAAGGGCACUGCGCGUGUUGUAACGGGAACGGGUGGUAUUUGCAGAGGUCACUGGCGGUCCUCCUUUCUUUAAUGGAAUACAAGCUCUUGUAAUACACUCUUCUUAGUAGGGCUUUAAAAUAUUCCAAUAAUAUUUAAUCUCAUGCAAAUUGAGGCUACAUACCCCUUCUUUUUUCUGUAGAUGGCUGUUCAUCGUAUGAUCUAAUUUAGCGGAUGGGGUAUAAUAGCUAAUUACUAUUCAGGUGUCCGUCUGCCUCCCUCAGCAGACCCCGCGCCCGCGCAGCACUCCUGCCCUUGGGUCAAGCCCCAGGGAUAAUUCGAGGCAGUUCCUGACCGCGGUGCUCGGAGCAGUGCUACUACAUGGGAGAAGAGCAGAUACUGUUUUGGGGUUCUCUCAUUCAUUACCCGGCGGUGCCAUGUGCUGUACCACUUGUUUUAAUGUUCUGGAGGAAUGCACAGCCCUCUGUGUUAGGCUGUGAUUGCUUUCUUAACUGCCAGGCUGGAGACAUCUUGACUUAGCAUUGAAACCAAAAGCCUUGCAAUAGGGCACAUCCUUCCAGGUCUCCUGGACGUUCAGUGAAUAGCAGCAUACAAAUUGACCUUACAGAGUCUGAAAAGA